CCCCCUCCCACCCGAGCGCCGCUCGGCUCUCGGCUCGCUCGGGGCUUCCUCCGGAGCCACGUGGACCGCAGCCGGCUCGGCGGAGGCCCAGCCGCGGAGACGCCGGGGGCAGCGCGGGGACCGGCCUGCCGCCCCGAGAGGCGCUCUGCGGGGACAGCUCUGUGACACAUCGCGCCCAGGCCGCCGCCCACAAGCUGGCGAGGCUUAAGGAAGAGUGGCCUGGUGGCCCGGAGGCCCGUGGGGUCAGCCCCGGGAGGAGGCGACCGGCGCCCACCGAGAGGACGUGGCGGUGCCCAGAACAGCCCGAGUCGGGUGCACCGCAGCGAGAAGGGGCCGAUCCCCCUGCUGGCGACUGGGCCGAGCCACCGACUUCCUCUAAGGGCGCGGGACCCGAGGUGGGAUUGGGGAGGAGAGGGGAGGAGCGCGGUGCGCUGGGGCGCUGCUGAGGCCCGAACCGGGCCCGGUUCCGAGGCGCAGAGCGGCCCCCGCGGUCCGGCCCCCGCCCGCCGCCGAGUGCCUCCCAGAUGCGGAGGCUGCAGCGCGGUCCAGAGCAGGGCGAGCACUUAGCGCCGGUACCCAGGCAGGGGCCGCCCCCCAGGCGGCCUGAGACUGGGGCUUCGGACAGCGGGACCCCCUUUGGGGGCCAGGUUUGCGGCAUUUUUGCCCUUCCUCCUUUAUAAGAAAGUCAGGGCGGGGGAGACAUCUUGCUCAGUGGCAGAAUGCCGGUCUUAGAGGCUAAAUGCUGGACACAAGGCUUAAGAGGCAUUAAAAACAAUCUGGUUUUACAGCUCUUAUCCCCUUAUUGGGACUUUUUUGCAACUUUUCUGAGGAAUCCUAAAGGGAAGAGGCACAGCUUGGCCUAGGGGUCAGUUAAUUCUUCCAGCUUGGAGAAGGCAGCCUUUUGCAAUGCAAAGGGAGAAAGCUCUUUGGCCCGUCAUUCACCAGAAGGAUGAUGCAGCCUAUGCUUCAGGCCAGGGCCGCUGGACCAGACUUCCUGGUUCAGAUCCUGCACUGCCACUCACUGGAUGUGUGAGCUUAGGCUGGUUACUGAAUCCCCAAGCUUCCUAGCUCCCGGCCUCAGUUUCCUCACCUGUGAAAAUGGGUCUCAUUACUGUCCCUUCCCCAAGGUUGUUAUGAUUAAGUGAAUUCCUACAUGUCCAACCCUUAAAACUGUACUUGGUAGAUAGUAAGUGCCCCAUAAAAGUGAGCUAGCUGUGUGGGUGGUGGACCUCUCCAGUGCCGGGACCCUGCCCACAGCACAGGGGAGGAUGGGAUGGAGGCACUGGGGAGGACUUCUGGGACUUGGGGGAGCAAAGGAGAAAUAUUCAGAGAAGUAGAAGGGGAGCUAAUUAAAAAGGAGGGGGAGGGGAACGAAUGGGAAAAUUCGCUAAGAGAAGGGGACGGAAAAUAGUAGAGAGAUGCAAAGAGCAGGAGUCAGGGGAAAAAGCCAAAACAAAACAAUAAAACAAAGGGCACGUGGAUCUGCAAGAAUUCUUCAAGGAGCCGUGCCCAGGACAGUGGGGGCCUGCCACCUGGCUAAGAGUCCUGCCCUCCUUGAGUUCGAAAGAAAAGUUUUGGGUGUUUCAUGACCCCCCCUGAGACCUCUUGCCUGACCCUAUUGGGUUUUGUUUUGGUUCUAGAUGAGGGGUGAGCCCUUCGGCUGCCUGGAAGCAUCUCUUGGGCUUUGCUCUGUGAUCAUCUUCCAGCCAGGGGAACCUUCCUUCAUGGACCCCUCAGACUCAGCCCCUGAAGGGGUCCCUUGGAGCAUCAUCUGUGCCCAAGUCCUUGUCCUAAAUACAAGAGAGGUCAUCCUGCUGUCCUCAUGGGGACAGCUGCCUGCAGCGU
ensembl:lncRNA